GUGUCAGCAGCCGCGGUAAUACGGAGGACCCGAGCGUUAUCCGGAUUCAUUGGGUUUAAAGGGUGCGUAGGCGGCCCGGUCAGUCAGCGGUGAAAGGCUCCUGCUCCACAGGAGAGCUGCCGUUGAUACUGCUGGGCUAGAAUCUUAGCGAGGCGGGCGGAAUGCGCGGUGUAGCGGUGAAAUGCAUAGAUAUCGCGCAGAACGCCGAUUGGGGAGCCAGCUCGCCAGCUGAGUAUUGACGCUGAGGCACGAAAGCGUGGGGAUCAAACAGGAUUAGAAACCCCAGUAGUCC
rnacentral:rRNA from 1 species